rnacentral:rRNA from 1 species
UGGGGAAUCUUGGACAAUGGGCGCAAGCCUGAUCCAGCCAUGCCGCGUGAGUGAAGAAGGCCUUCGGGUUGUAAAGCUCUUUUUACCAGGGACGAUAAUGACGGUACCUGGAGAAUAAGCCCCGGCAAACUUCGUGCCAGCAGCCGCGGUAAUACGAAGGGGGCUAGCGUUGUUCGGAAUUACUGGGCGUAAAGCGCACGUAGGCGGAUUGUUAAGUCAGAGGUGAAAUCCCGGAGCUCAACUUCGGAACUGCCUUUGAUACUGGCAAUCUAGAGUCCGGAAGAGGUUAGUGGAAUUCCCAGUGUAGAGGUGAAAUUCGUAGAUAUUGGGAAGAACACCAGUGGCGAAGGCGGCUAACUGGUCCGGUACUGACGCUGAGGUGCGAAAGCGUGGGGAGCAAACAGGAUUAGAUACCCUUGUAGUCCCUGAGCGGGCUGGCAAGGCGCAU